AUCUAGCUCCGAUGGGAGUGAUAUCCUUUUUCUGGCUUCUUUAGACAGAAAAAGAUAUAAUGGACAGCGGGACAAGUG
rnacentral:sRNA from 2 species